AGUGAACGCUGGCGGUAGGCCUAACACAUGCAAGUCGAACGGCAGCACAGUAAGAGCUUGCUCUUACGGGUGGCGAGUGGCGGACGGGUGAGGAAUACAUCGGAAUCUACUUUUUCGUGGGGGAUAACGUAGGGAAACUUACGCUAAUACCGCAUACGACCUACGGGUGAAAGCAGGGGAUCUUCGGACCUUGCGCGAUUGAAUGAGCCGAUGUCGGAUUAGCUAGUUGGCGGGGUAAAGGCCCACCAAGGCGACGAUCCGUAGCUGGUCUGAGAGGAUGAUCAGCCACACUGGAACUGAGACACGGUCCAGACUCCUACGGGAGGCAGCAGUGGGGAAUAUUGGACAAAGGGCGCAAGCCUGAUCCAGCCAUACCGCGUGGGUGAAGAAGGCCUUCGGGUUGUAAAGCCCUUUAGUUGGGAAAGAAAAGCAGCAAGUUAAUACCCCGCUGUUCUGACGGUACCCAAAGAAUAAGCACCGGCUAACGUCGUG
rnacentral:rRNA from 1 species